rnacentral:lncRNA from 1 species
CGUCAAUCUCGUUGCACCACAGUGAGAACUCCGCCAUCUCUUUCUUAAGAGUUUCCCUUCCGAGAUAAGUCAUCCGCAGGGCUCUGGGUGGGCGAGGAAUGGACAAACCCAUCUAGAGAACAUCCCAGCGGAGCUGGAGAGGAAGAGGAAGGUGAUUCAGUGGCGCAUGGUCUGGCCCCUGUCUGCCAGCCUCUUCCUGAGGUGCUGGCAGAGCUUGGGGGUGGGGGGGCCCAGGCUCCCCAAACCUUAGCCUGGGCUGCACUGCCUUUUCACCUGAACUGUGAUGUCAGGGCCUGGGACCCAGUGGUUUCCUGAAUCUUACAGCCAAAGGAGAUGAUACAAGGGCUGAGAAGAACCUUUGAGGGUCUCUGGUCUAAACCAAGCCCAGAAUAGAGGCCUGACGCCCCUGGGUUUAUUGGUCUCCUCAAGACUCUGGCGGAGGAGGUCUCCAGAGGGCACAUCCCCUCCCUGCAGCCCACAAAGCUGAAACUCUCCUCUGCCUUGACGAGAUGGAGAAACGGAAUGUGAUCUGCUCCUCUUCUGCCAGGAGACGGUGCUGCCUCCUCAGGUUGGACACCCAUGAAGUCAGCCCUGCCCUAGCAUCAAGAGCGAUGCUGGAACUCAAUCCCCAAAGCUGGUCCUGAAAAGUCAAGUUGUCCAGUCCCCUGCCUUCAUGCCAGACCCAUCUCACCUGCCUUCCACAGGUGAGAAUCUCCUUGAGGUUUCAUCGCACGUACCCUUGCCAGGAUCUGCAGGCCUCUGCUUCACACCCUGCUGGGAAAUCCUUCUGAAUGUCUCAAUCUAAGUCUUAGCCCUUUAGGCCCAUUUCCUCUUCUGUCCUCCCUGAAUAUGGGGAACAGCUGGUCCUUUUGAGUAAUUACUUCUUGUUGACUGGGACCCAGUCUGUAAUUCCUUUUCCCUUCCCUCCUCGGGCUGAGUCUCCAGUGCGUUCUUCAACGCUGUGUCCCUCCUCUGAUGCUGUCCCCAGGUGCUCUGUGUGUUGUUG